ACUCCUACGGGAGGCAGCAGUGGGGAAUAUUGCACAAUGGGCGCAAGCCUGAUGCAGCCAUGCCGCGUGUGUGAAGAAGGCCUUCGGGUUGUAAAGCACUUUCAGUCGUGAGGAAGGUAGUGUAGUUAAUAGCUGCAGUAUUUGUACGUUAGCGACAGAAGAAGCACCGGCUAACUCCGUGCCAGCAGCCGCGGUAAUACGGAGGGUGCGAGCGUUAAUCGGAAUUACUGGGCGUAAAGCGCAUGCAGGUGGUUGUUAAGUCAGAUGUGAAAGCCCGGGGCGUCAACCUCGGAAUAGCAUUUGAAACUGGCAGACUAGAGUACUGUAGAGGGGGUAGAAUUUCAGGUGUAGCGGUGAAAUGCGUAGAGAUCUGAAGGAAUACCGGUGGCGAAGGCGGCCCCUGGACAGAUACUGACACUCAGAUGCGAAAGCGUGGGAGCAAACAGGAUUAGAUACCCCUGGUAGACUGUCA
rnacentral:rRNA from 1 species